rnacentral:rRNA from 1 species
AUGGUGGACAUGGCCGCCAUGGCCUCGCGAUCGAUCUCGUCGAAGGUGUGGAAGAUGACGGCGGACGGAGUGGUCCUGUGGCACGCCAUUGAGCGCAAGAGCAUUUUGAGCAUGGCGUCGUCGGGGUCCGUGGUGCGGAUUAAGCUCGGGAAGUCUCUGAGGCGGAUGUCUUUGGGCAUCCCCGGCACCCAGUCCAGGACCGUGUCGUCCAGGUGUCCAUUCCUUAGCUGCUCAGCCCCUGUUUCUCAAAGCCAUGAAGGCGAACGCGCUGGACGUCCAGAAGGUGACGCAGGGAAGACCCAUGUCCUUGGACGCGUACAGGAUGUGCUCGACGUCGGAGAUGACGCAGGACGCCGGCGGGAGGAGGCCGGAGACGAGGCUCCGGAAGGGCGGGACCAGGGCCUCCGUGGUGGACAGCAGGGCAGCCAUGUCCUGCGACGCGUCCGCCUCGGACGGGGGCAGGCCGUCCGGGACGGCGGCGAAGCGGAACCCGGGGACCCCGUCCAGCGCGCCGGGGCCGCGCGAGCGGAGGAGGCGGCGGCGGUUGUGCUCCGUGUGGACGAAGGUGACCUGGAAGCCAUGGCAACGGUGGAGGAGCUUGGCCAGCUGGAGCGCCGGCUUCACGUGGCCCUGCGCCGGGAAAGGGAAGAACACGGCGUGACGCUUCUCCACCGACGAUCCUGCAGCUGCCACGGUCGCCAUGGCCGAUCAGUAUUCAGUACUCCCUCUCCAGACGGGAGGUUUUCCCUCUAG